UAACCUGCCCAAGAGAUCGGGAUAACACCUGGAAACAGAUGCUAUACCGGAUAACAACAGAUGAUGCCUAUCAACUGUUUAAAAGAUGGUUCUGCUAUCACUCUUGGAUGGACCUGNGGUGCAUUAGCUAGUUGGUAGGGUAACGGCCUACCAAGGCGAUGAUGCAUAGCCGAGUUGAGAGACUGAUCGGCCACAUUGGGACUGAGACACGGCCCAAACUCCUACGGGAGGCAGCAGC
rnacentral:rRNA from 1 species